rnacentral:rRNA from 1 species
CAAUAGCGUAUAUUUAAGUUGCUGCAGUUAAAAAGCUCGUAGUUGGAUUUCGGGUGGGAAUGGCCGGUCCGCCGUUUCGGUGUGCACUUGCUACGCCCACCUUGCUGCCGGGGACGUGCUCUUGAGUUCACGCUCGGGACACGGAGUCGGCGAGGUUACUUUGAGUAAAUUAGAGUGUUCAAAGCAGGCCUACGCUCUGAAUACAUUAGCAUGGAAUAACACGAUAGGACUCUGGCCUAUCUUGUUGGUCUGUAGGACCGGAGUAAUGAUUAAGAGGAACAGUUGGGGGCAUUCGUAUUCAGUUGUCAGAGGUGAAAUUCUUGGAUUUACGGAAGACGAACAACUGCGAAAGCAUUUGCCAAGGAUGUUUUCAUUAA